UACGUAGGGUGCAAGCGUUAAUCGGAAUUACUGGGCGUAAAGCGUGCGCAGGCGGUUAUGUAAGACAGUUGUGAAAUCCCCGGGCUCAACCUGGGAACUGCAUUCGAGACUGCAUUACUAGAGUAUGGGAGAGGGAAGUGGAAUUUCCGGUGUAGCGGUGAAAUGCGUAGAUAUCGGAAGGAACAUCAGUGGCGAAAGCGACUUCCUGGACCAAUACUGACGCUCAUGUGCGAAAGCGUGGGGAGCAAACAGG
rnacentral:rRNA from 1 species